rnacentral:rRNA from 1 species
UACGUAGGAGGCAAGCGUUUGUCCGGAGUUACUGGGCGUAAAGCGCUCGUAGGCGGGACUGGAAGUCCGUGUUGAAAGACCUCGGCUCAACUGAGGGACCGGCUCGGAUACUCUAGUUUCUUUGAGGCAAUCAGAGGGUGAUGGAAUUCCGGGUGUAGCGGUGGAAUGCGUAGAGAUCCGGAAGAACACCGGUGGCGAAGGCGGUCUGCUGGGGUCGAACUGACGCUGAGGCGCGACAGCGUGGGGGAGCAAACAGG